CACGUAGGGGGGCGAGCGUUGUCCGGAUUUAUUGGGCGUAAAGAGCUCGUAGGUGGCUCGGUAAGUCGGGUGUGAAAUUUCGAGGCUCAACCUCGAAACGCCACCUGAUACUGCUGUGGCUAGAGUCCGGUAGGGGAGCGUGGAAUUCCUGGUGUAGCGGUGAAAUGCGCAGAUAUCAGGAGGAACACCAGUGGCGAAGGCGGCUUUCUGGACGGUAACUGACGCUGAGACGCGAAAGCGUGGGGAGGCAAACAGG
rnacentral:rRNA from 1 species